UGUUCCAAGUCGGACUUAAAAAAUGAUCGGACCGCAAAGGUCAACUCCGUCUAGGGAUUGUUUUUCUUCUCGUUUUCUGCGCAACGUGCCAGCUUAAAAGGUCUGUCAAAAAGCGAGCAACGCAUAUGAGCUGAAAUGCCACAAGACGAACAAGCGACGAGCAACCAAAGGGGCUACCGUCUGCUGGGCAUCUUGGACGUGCAGAAGACGCCCUGCGCCCGGGAGGCAGUCCUUCACGGCGCCAUUGCCUCAUCGGCCGUCGGCCUGCUGCACUUUUUGGCCACCAGUCACGUGAAGCGGUCGUUCGAUGUAGGCGCGGGAGGCUUCUUACUCUCCACUUUUGCUUCCUGGUGCUACUGCCGCGCUGGCAACGCCAGGCAGCGAGCGCAGCAGAGGAUUAUCCGGCGUGGCAUCGAGAACAAAAUGGUCUACCAGGGGACCCCCGUGGACCCCACGCGUCCCCUCAAAGCUCACGAGCCGCCCCGGGACCCUUCUGACGAGAUUGUCGCUGAUGGCAAGUGAGCCGAUCUUGGAUGUCCUCAGUGAGUUCUGUAAAGUCGUCCACUGACACCUGGCCAAAAGUGGAAAGGAACCACGUGGUCGUCCUCGGCGUGCAGAAUCAAGACGGGACAACGGAUAUGGUUGAUGCUGAACAAAAACAAAGCAAGCGAACCCGAUGACAGCAGAUGCGUUUUCGCCCGAGCCCACUGGAGCAGUGGUCCCCAACAACCCGGGCUGCGGACCGGUACGCGGAUGAUUUGGUACCGGGCCACACAAGAAAGAAUAAAUAACUUGCAUUAUUUUACACUUCUGACGUGUACAUAACAUUACUCAUGUUAUGUUGUUGGCACGAUGUUAUGAGGAUGCUGAAAGUAAAGUUGGAUAGAAUACACAGUGGAUUCAUGUUUAUUAUAUUGUACUGUGGUAUUCGCAUACAGAAUUCCCCUAUGGAACUAAGAGUUGAAGGGUGUGUUGGGAUGGUGGUGUUUAUGUGGUAACGCAUUUCUGUUGUUGUUCUGCUGGCUGGAAAGAGGGAUUGUAGUCUAAACACGGGCGAUUUUUGCGAAGAAAACGUCCA